rnacentral:lncRNA from 1 species
UUCGCUCCUGUUCUCUACCCAACCCACCACUUCCCUCUUUGUAAAAUUUUUCUCAGUCGGUUCCCACAAACACCGAGAACCCAGAAGAGCCUCUCCCUUUCGUCACCCUUCGCAAAUGCUCCUCAAGACCCUGCCGUUUCAGGAGCAAGGCCACGAGAGGACGCCGGUUCUCUAAGUCCACAAGAGAUCGAAGCACUUCAAGUUCGUCGCCCUGUCCCUGGGGCUCUUGGGCUUCUCUUUCUUGACGGUUUGUUUCAUCUUCUUCUUUGGUCAUUACGUGGAUCAUGGUAAGGACGGGGUCGUGGGAGGAGGGUUCUUUGGGUACCCUGGCCGAAUGGAGAGUCUGGCGUGGUCGAACUUGAAGUUGAAUGGCUCUGAUGAUGUCGAGAGGGUGGAUUUUCUCGGGGAGGUGGGUGAUGGGCGUGAUGUGUUCGAGGGUGAUUGGAUCUGGGAUGAUAACUAUCCACUGUAUCAGUCAAGAGAAUGCGGGCUUAUGGAGGAAGAAGGACGAAUAUUUGUUGUGAUUUUUCCUGAUAGGAAUUUGCUUGAAUAUGCAUGACUUAGAUUAAAAAUCGAGACAUUUAGAGAUCAUUAAGCAUUUCAUGCCAAAAAUAUAGAAUGCAUAUUGAUUGUGAUGAAUCGCGAUAAAAGGAUGAGGAGGUGCUCUAUAUACUAAGUGAGCAAGUAUGUAACGUAAGAUGGUGUUUAUUUUUAUUUUUUAAAUUUAAAUGAGCGAAAACAUUGUCUUGACAUUUUAUCAUGGAAAUAUGAACAAACACAAAGUUACAAAUGUAUAUAUGUUUUCGACUAGCAAUGACCUUUCUUUGGUUAGAUGCACACCGGCUAGCUAUUAGCAUUGGCCAAGUUAGUGCUCACCCAAUUUGGGGAGAAGAAAUUCUGAAAGUGUCAGAAAGAGUUCAUUGACAUAUGCUGAUAAUAAUUACUGCCAAAGUUUUUGUUUUUCUAAAAGAAAAAAAUAUGGAGGGGGAACAGGAAGUAGAAUUGAAAAAAAGGAUAAAAAAAAAGGGGGGAGAAAACAGAGGAAAUAUGGGGUGGGUUGUCACUGAGCCUGAAGCAAAAGCCCUCUCGCACCAGUCAGCCACCCCCAUGGCUUAUUUAUGAACCCCUGCAAAAAGCCUCCAUGGCGAAGCUAAGCCCAAGACACGCACAAACACACUGACUUCCAAGCCAAGCUAAUUAGCCACAUUGGCCAUGGUUAGGAGGUUUGUGCACAUUACCUGCUUGGGGAAGGAGGAUACCAUUAGAAUCGCUCCCACCCCACCCCAUAAAUAAAGAGGUCUCAAAAGAAAAAGAUUGGUGUGUCAAGAGAAGCCUUGAAGAGCAACAAAACUCUCUCUCUCUCUCUCUCUCUCUCUCUCUCUCUCUCUCUCUCUCUCUCUCUCUCUCUGUGCUAGUCUAGCAAUCUUUCUAGACCCCCCUCCCUCCGUCUCUCUCUCUCUCUCUCUCACCCCUGAAAUAGAGGAAGCAAAGGAAGCAGAGGAGUUUAAUGUGCACCCGCACAUCUCCUUAGGACGCCCCCCCCCCCUCUCUCUCUCAACAACCAGCCUAUGGGUGGUCAGAACCUCCAGAACUAGCAGCUCCAGCAGGAGCAAGAGUUCCAUGAUUUCCUGGAGCUUCUGCUGCGGUUCCGACAGUGCCUAGAUUUCCUACUGUGGUCGAAAAAGUACCAAGAGUUCAAACUGUGGCUCCAGAAGACGAUAGAGGACCGAGAUUUCAAGCAGACGAAAUGUUGGAAAUUAAUCCAGAGAAAGCAAACUGUUUGUUGUAAUCAAAAUAUCGAUGUAAAGAAGACGAUACAAAUUAUAUAAUAUUCUUCUUUUCAUGUAAACUUACAAUCUUGAAGAAGAAUAAAAUAAGAUAUCACUGAAAAAAUAACAUAAAAUUGGAGGUGAGGUACGGAUAACCGAAUUUCCUUAAUGCGAUUAGUUCCUGCCAAUGGUGCUCCGUAGAUUCACGAACUAUGCAUUCCAAGAUACAAUACCUCGAACCUGUUUGGAUUAGCACUAUGCAAAUAGGGCUCAGUCGAACCGUUCAAUUGAACCAGUACACCCAGAAAAACAGAAAAGUAGAAAAGUAUAUCAAAACCUUUUUGGAAUCGAGUCGGAAAAACAAAAAACGAAAGACCUUAUGAAUCUCUAUGCUCCCAUCUAUUUAUAGAUAUUUUUAGUUCAUGUAUAGAAGAGAUACAUGAAUUAAAUAGACACAUGUAUUCAUGAAAUUCAUGAAUCAAGAGAUACAUGAAUUCAAAAGAUUCAUGAAUCCAGAGAUACAUGAAUUCAAGAGAUUUGUGAAUUCAAUAAAUACAUGAACUGAAAGAUACAUGACUCUAGGAAAUUCAUGAAUUCAAUAGAUAUAUAAACAUAAAAGUUUAGGAAAUUCAUGAAUCCAAAAAAGAUACAUUAACAGAAAAAACGUAUCUUAAUUUAAUGGCUUUCGUUGAUCCAUUAACCAUAAUUACAACAAUCCCUCACAUUAAUAGAUCAACAAAACAUUUUUGACUCGAAGGAAUCUGAGCAUGUCUAUUGAAAUACACUGCAUCAAGAUAGGUAGCUUUCGCUUUGAACCUUUUUUAGUGAAAGCCUAUCGGACUUACUUAACUAGUCGAUGGACUAAGCCUUGAAUCGCCAGUUGUUUGUGUAAGCCUAGACAAUAAACCUCACACGGAGUAUUUCCAAUUCAAGAUUGGUUCUCGAUUGUGUUCGUUCUUUCGGCCUUAAACCUCUUGGGAUUCAUGCAUGCUUUAGAAAAUCUAGCCUUUAAAGAUUUUCAUAGAGACGACCAACUCCACGCAUAUAUGUGCAUUCCUUUUGAAGAUAUCCUACCAUAUCUCACUUGGAUGUUACAUUCCAAGUUAUAGGAAUCAUUAAACGCAUAGCGUACCCUUAAUAACGCUGUAGGAAAGCACUGUUGCAUCAUAGGAAUGGGAGACAAUGCUUACACUGGAGUUUCCAGAAUUUGCGUUGUCCUAUUGAACCUAGACCACAGGAUCUCCAAUCGCAUAGGUUAGGUUUUCACCUUGGAAUCUCUUUAUUGGGUUAAGGCUCUUAAAUCCAUUCCCCUCGAUGCGCAGUUUAUCUGCUCUCUUGACAAACCUUUUGUCAGCGGAUCCGCAAUAUUUUCCUUUAACUUUACAAAGUCUAAAGAAAUGAUUCCAUUUGAGAGCAAUUGCCUUACGGUAUUAUGUCUACGACGAAUAUGUCUAGACUUACCAUUAUAAAUCACAUUAUGCACCCCCCACACUUUUAGAAAAUUGUAGGAUAGCAACUUUCCAUUCCAGAACUCAUAUGGAGUUUUACCUGUCUUUUUGUAGGGUAUUUUAUUAAGAAUAUAAUUUGCAGUUAAAACUACCUCCCCUUACAAGUUUUGAGGUAAACUUGAACUCAAAAACAUGUCGUUAGCCAUCUCCUUUAGUGUCAUGUUCAAUCGUUCAGUAACUCCAUUUUGUUGUGGAGUAUAAGGUACAGUCAUUUGGAGAAUUAUUCCAAAACUAGCACAAAACUCUUUGAAAUUGAUUGAAUUGUAUUCUCCUCCUCUAUCAGACCUAAGCACUUUGAUUCGUUUAUCAAGUUGGCUUUCAACUUCACUUUUUAUACUUGACAAACAUGCUCAUAGUCUCAUCUUUGCUAGUUAGUAAAUAAACAUAGCAAAAUCUAGUAUAAUCAUCCACAAAUGUGAUGAAGUACUUCUUUCCACCUCUACUUUCUACAAAUUUUAAAUCACAUAGAUCACUAUGGAUUAAUUGUAAAGGUUCACUUGUUCUUUCAAUGGAUUUGAAAGGUUUCUUGGAAAACUUGGCCUCAACACAAGUCUCACACUUGUAACGGGUAUCCAACUCAAAUCUUGGAAUUAACCCCAAGUUUGCUAUUCUCUCUUUAUUGUACCAUAGUUUACAUGUCCUAAUCUACCAUGUCAUAGAUAAGGAGACACAACCGUGUAAACUAAAGACUUUUCUUUAUUAAUAGUCUUUGGGUACAUAUAAUUCGAGUUUACAUCAAUGACAGCCACAUUGGCCUUAAACAGGUCAUUACACAAGUACCAUUUCCCCACAUACAUCCCUCCUUUCGAAAGUACAAACUUGUUAGAUUCAAAUACAAUUUUGAAACCCUUCUUGACAAGUAUGGGGCUAGAAAUUAGGUUUUUCCGAAUCUCUGGUACAUGUAGCACAUUCAGCAGGGCGACCUCCUUGCCAGAUGUAAACUUCAGGAUCACCUUUUCUCUUCCGACAAUCUUUGCUGAUGCAGAGUUAGCCAUAUAAAGCUUCUCAUCUUCUUCAGCUUUCUCAUAAGAUGAGAACAUGUGUUUAUUUGCACAUAUGUGAUUUGUGGCACAUGUAUCUAGCCACCAGCCAUUAGUGUUCGACACCAGAGAUGUUUCGAACAUCACCACAGCAGACAAUCUUUCAUUAGUUGUAACUGGAGGUGUUGCCAUCACAGUAGGCAAGGCUCGUUGAACUAUCCCUCCAAAAACGAAGCCAAAAGCCAUUUGUCAUGUACUGUUCUGAAAAACAGUCCCGGGCAUACCAGUCAUGUGACUUGUACCCGCACUACCAAAAUUGGUGUUAGCCCAAGGGCUCGUAGCAUUGGCUACUACAAAUUCAAACCCUGAGGGUUGAACAUCUUCCAUAGUAACGGUCGAAUCGACCAUAGGAACAUCUCCUGAAACAUUAUGAACAUUGAAUGACACUUGAUUGUUUUCUGUCAUCUCAAUAAUCUGACAAGAACAACAAACAAUGAGUGAGCUAAUCGCCUUAAGAUUGUUGGAAAUUAAUCCAAAGAAAGCAAACUGUUUGUUGUAAUCAUAAUAUCAAUGUAAAGAAGACGGUAACAGUUAUAUAAUAUUCUUCUUUUCAUGUAAACUUACAAUCUUGAAGAAGAAUAAAAUAAGAUAUCACUGAAAAAAUAAUAUAAAAUUGGAGGUGAGGUACGGAUAACCGAAUCUCCUUAAGGCGAUUAGUUCCUACCAAUAGUGCUCCGCAGAUUCACGAACUAUACCUCCCAAGAUACAACACCUCGAACCUGUUUAGAUUAGCACUAUGCAAACAUGGCUCAGUCGAACCGUUCAAUUGAACCAGCACAUCCAGAAAAACAGAAAAGUAUAUCAAAGCCUUUUUGGAAUCGAGUCGGUAAAACCAAAAACGAAAGACUUUAUGAAGCUCUAUGCUCCCAUCUAUUUAUAGAGAUUUUUAGUUCAUGUAUAGAAGAGAUACAUGAAUUAAAUAGAUGCAUGUAUCCACGAAAUUCAUGAAUCAAGAGAUACAUAAAUUCAAGAGAUUUAUGAAUCCAGAGAUACAUGAAUUCAAGAGGUUCAUAAACUCAGUAAAUACAUGAACUGAAAGAUACACGACUAUAGGAAAUUCAUGAAUUCAAUAGAUACAUAAAUAGAAAAGUUUAAGAAAUUCAUGAAUCCAAAAGAGAUACGUGAACAAAAAAAACGUAUAUUAAUUUAUUGGCUUUCGUUGAUCCAUUAACCAUAAUUACAACACAAAAGUGCUCCAAGAUCUCAAGCUGCAGCACCAAUUCAAGGACCCGGGUCCGAACCUUGAACCAGAAAGGAGGAGCGGAGGUCAUCCUGACAGAGGAUGAGGACCAGCAGCAGCUUCAACAGUUGAACCAGCACAUGGAUGCGUUCCCAGAUAGUGGGGACUUUUCGGUACCAAAUUGCGACUUCUUUUAUUUUUUGGUCGAAGAUUUUGGGACUUAAUGUGUUACAAUUUGGGUGUGUGCUCUGUUUUGGCCUGUGAACUAAUCUCUCUUUCCAGGCUUGGUAAUGACCUUUCGGAAUGAAACUCCGCAUAGGAAGCUUCGUUUCAUUCGUUUUUUUUUUCCAUCUGUUAUUCUUUUGUUGCGGUGAGAGGAAUUGUUCUUUACACCUGUUUUUGUUCUCUGGGUUUGCUUGUGCAUGCAGAUUUGUGUUCUAAAAGUGAACAUACACUGUAAUGGCUGUAAGCAGAAAGUGAAGAAAAUCUUGCAGAAAAUUGACGGUAUUACUCCUUUUUCAGUUCCAGUCCUCUUUAUUCAAUCUUUUUUUUUCAAGCCCCUCUCUCUCUCUCUCUCUCUCUCUCUCUAUUUUAGUUAGAUUUUAUUAUUAAAAAAAAAAAGUAGUUCCUUCCCGUCCUAUUUUAGAAAAUCUCAGUUGAUGUAUACUUAUCACAUUCAAUUAAAAAAAAAAUGCUUGGUUGAUUUUUCCCCUUGUUUCUUUUCUUUUGGAUUGGUGUGUUACAGGGGUGUACACCAUCAAAAUAGAUGCAGAACAGGGCAAAGUGACCGUUUCCGGGAACGUAGACCCAGCUCCACUCAUCAAGAAGCUCAUGAAAUCAGGCAAACAUGCAGAGCUUUGGGGCGCUCAGAAGUCCAACGACCAGCUCAAGAACAUGCGAAUUGAUAAUGGCAAAGGUGGAAACAAGGGCCAAAAGGGCGGUGGCGGAGUUGAAGGAAACAACCAGCCUAAGGUUGGUCAGAACCUCCCGAACCAGCAGCAGCUUCAACAUCUGAACCAGCAGCAGCUUCAGCAGCUCCAGCAGAUGAAAGCGUUCCAAGAUCUCAAGCUGCCCCAAUUCAAGGACCUCAAGAUGCCCUCCAAGGACCCGGGUCCGAUCCUGAACCAGAAAGGAGGAGGGAAAUUCAUUCUGCCUGAGGAUGAGGAAUUCACUGAUGAAGAGUGGGAUUAUGAUGAAGAUGAUAAUUUUAUGGAUGAUGAGGAUUUUGAUGAUUAUGAUGAUGCCUACCACCAAGCACCCAACAAGACGAAGCCAAUGAUGGGCAAUUGCCAGAUGCCCAACAUGAUGAUGAU